CCUACGGGAGGCAGCAGUGGGGAAUUUUGGACAAUGGGCGAAAGCCUGAUCCAGCAAUGCCGCGUGUGGGAAGAAGGCCUUCGGGUUGUAAACCACUUUUGUACGGAACGAAACGGCUCGCUUUAAUACAGUGGGCUAAUGACGGUACCGUAAGAAUAAGCACCGGCUAACUACGUGCCAGCAGCCGCGGUAAUACGUAGGGUGCGAGCGUUAAUCGGAAUUACUGGGCGUAAAGCGUGCGCAGGCGGUUAUAUAAGACAGUUGUGAAAUCCCCGGGCUCAACCUGGGAAUUGCAUCUGUGACUGUAUAGCUAGAGUACGGUAGAGGGGGAUGGAAUUCCGCGUGUAGCAGUGAAAUGCGUAGAUAUGCGGAGGAACACCGAUGGCGAAGGCAAUCCCCUGGACCUGUACUGACGCUCAUGCACGAAAGCGUGGGGAGCAAACAGGAUUAGAUACCCUGGUAGCCCACGCCCUAAACGAUGUCAACUGGUUGUUGGGUGCAUUAGUACUCAGUAACGAAGCUAACGCGUGAAGUUGACCGCCUGGGGAGUACGGCCGCAAGGUUGAAACGUCAAAGGAAUUGACGG
rnacentral:rRNA from 1 species